UCCUCGCCAAAGCUGCGUUUCUUUGCUACACUCGCCAGUUCACGCUGGAAUUUAACACUUGCAAAUGAGAAAUUCGGAGUACUCUUCACCUUUCAACCAGCUUCUGCACGUCUACAGUGAGGAAGCUCGGUACUGCCCGUAAGGGUCUGGCAUGAAAAGUGUCUGCAACCAGGCAUAAGAAACAUCGGGGGCAAAAGGGUGCGGAUGGGCGGCCUGGGAGAAAUCCCGGGGCUUCCUUUUCUGCAUUCUUUUACCCCCUUGGGAGAGCCGUUGCGAAGAUUGUGUGUGUCUUCCUUCGGGGAGAUGCGACACCUAAGUGCAAUACGCAGCGUAUCAGGGCUUCCUCGAUUCAGAGGGAGCCAGGGUAUCAUUCGAUUCCGAUUACUCUGGCGAGGA
rnacentral:RNase_P_RNA from 2 species